GGUAUCUGGCUUUCUCCUCGUGUGCAAUCAGUAAAACACAUAUAGGGGCCACUUCGGGAUUUGCCCAGGGAAGGGUUGGAGAGCAGCUGGCUGCGGUAAUCUCCUCGGGAGACAAAGGAAUGCCCCGUCCCAGGAUCACAGAAUCGCGUGGCAUAAAUUAAGCCAGAGAAGAAUGAGCGCCGUGGGCAGGAUCCUGCCGGCUCUCACGGCGCCUUUCAGUCACGCUCAGCAGCGGUAAUCGAGAAAUCUGUGCCACGUCAAUUUAACAAAUACCCGGUACCGAAGGGGGGUUGUUAAGGAUUUGGGGAUUAAAGGAUACGCGUUGAUAUAUCACUUCUUGCCUCCACCGACGGGCCACCACCCAAAUUUCAAGAAAGAUAUUGCCGCUCACCCCCGCCCCCCCGCCCCACUCGCUUAGUAAACCUCAUACGAAGUGAUGUUUUC